UCCGUAGGUGGAUCAAUCAGUCAGAGGUGAAAUCCUGCAGCUUAACUGUAGAACUGCCUUUGAUACUGUUGAUCUUGAGUCAUUAUGAAGUGGUUAGAAUGUGUAGUGUAGCGGUGAAAUGCAUAGAUAUUACACAGUAUACCGAUUGCGAAGGCAGAUCACUAAUAAUGUACUGACACUGAGGGACGAAAGCGUGGGGAGCGAACAGGAUUAGAUACCCUGGUAGUCC
rnacentral:rRNA from 1 species